CCUGCAGGAUAGUGUGUAUCGGCCUAAUGCAUUACUCUGUGCAUUUCUGCCGAAAGUGUUUCCUGCUAUAUCGAUCAGAGGAAAGUGGGCAGUUGGGUUAAUCAUAUUCAUGUUUUCUCCAACAAUCAUUUUCCUGCCAUUG
rfam:Oryza brachyantha chromosome 7, whole genome shotgun sequence.